AGAACAAGAAAGUUGUAAAAGAUUUUGAACCGAGGCCCAACCUUUCAGCUUAUGGUGAGAACGAUGUUGAUGCUAAAAAAAAUGAAGUUGUAAAAGAUUUAGAACCAAGACUCAAAUUUUCAGCUUAUGGUGACGACACUAAUGUCAAGGAAAAGAAUACCGUGAAAGAUUUUGAGCCAAGACCUAACAUUUCAGCUUAUGGUGGCAAUAUCGAUGUCAAGGAAAAUAAUGUUGUGGAAGAUUUUGAGCCAAGACCUAACAUUACAGCUUAUGGCGAAGAUAUCGAUGCCAAGGAAAAGGAUGUCGUAAAAGAUUUUGAACCAAGACCCAACCUUUCAGCUUAUGGCGAAGAUAUCAAUGCCAAGGAAAAUGUCGUGAAAGAUUUUGAGCCAAGACCCAACAUUUCAGCUUAUGGUGAGAAGGAUGUUGAUGCUAAAAAAAGGAAGUCGUGAUAAAUUUAGAGUCAAGGCCAAAU
rnacentral:lncRNA from 1 species